CAAUAGCGUAUAUUUAGGUUGUUGCAGUUAAAAAGCUCGUAGUUGGAUUUCGGGUGGGACGCAGCGGUCUCGCAUUGCGUUUGUACUGCUGCAGCCCUCCUUCUUGCCGGGGGCGGCCUCUCGGACUUCACUGUCUGGGGGUCAGAAUCGGCGAUGUUACUUUGAGUAAAUUAGAGUGUUCAAAGCAAGCUUACGCUCUGAAUAUAAUAGCAUGGGAUAACACGACAGGACUCUGGCCUAUCGUGUUGGUCUAUAGGACCAGAGUAAUGAUUAAGAGGGACAGUCGGGGGCAUUCGUAUUCCGUUGUCAGAGGUGAAAUUCUUGGAUUUACGGAAGACGAACAUCUGCGAAAGCAUUUGCCAAGGAUGUUUUCAUUGA
rnacentral:rRNA from 1 species